UGGGUAUAGCUCAGUGGUAGAGGGCAUGCUUAGCAUGCAUGAAGUCCUGGGUUCAAUACCCUGUACUCCAU
rnacentral:tRNA from 1 species